rnacentral:rRNA from 1 species
AUUGAACGCUGGCGGCAGGCCUAACACAUGCAAGUCGAGCGGAUGAAGGGAGCUUGCUCCUGGAUUCAGCGGCGGACGGGUGAGUAAUGCCUAGGAAUCUGCCUGGUCGUGGGGGAUAACGUCCGGAAACGGGCGCUAAUACCGCAUACGUCCUGAGGGAGAAAGUGGGGGAUCUUCGGACCUCACGCUAUCAGAUGAGCCUAGGUCGGAUUAGCUAGUUGGUGGGGUAAAGGCCUACCAAGGCGACGAUCCGUAACUGGUCUGAGAGGAUGAUCAGUCACACUGGAACUGAGACACGGUCCAGACUCCUACGGGAGGCAGAAGUGGGGAAUAUUGGAAAAUGGGCGAAAGCCUGAUCAAGCCAUGCAGGGUGUGUGAAGAAGGUCUUCGGAUUGUAAAGCACUUUAAGUUGGGAGGAAGGGCAGUAAGUGAAUACCUGGCUGUUUUGACGUUACCAACAGAAUAAGCACCGGCUAACUUCGUG